rnacentral:misc_RNA from 1 species
CUCGGGCAGCGACGACGUGCCUUGCAAGCCUCUUCAGCUGGUCGCCCAAGCGCGUGCUCGCCUUGGUCAUUGUUGGUUUCCUGUGUUGCAUACCUAUCGCGAGGGCAUUAAAUCGGCUACAAACGUCCCGUUUUCCGCCUUGUGCUGCGCCUCUYGGGGUUGCGGUGCGGGGUGGACCAUAAAGCAUCUGCCGUGUUCCACUUCUCUUGCGUGCCAACGCGUGCUCGAGUUGCUGGCCCAUGGUAGCGUGCUCGAUCUCUCGGAUGCGGAAAAUUGAGAGGGCACGAGGCCUUCGGCCCCUAUUUGCCCCGAAACAAAGCGUUCAACGCUUCGUGCGGACGACGACCGAUGCCGUUCUGACCGAGUCCUUGGGCUUGGCUCAUG